GCUGCGGGUACUCGAGUGGCGAACGGGUGAGUAACACGUGGGUGAUCUGCCUUGCACUUCGGGAUAAGCUUGGGAAACUGGGUCUAAUACCGGAUAGGACAGCUGUUUAGUGUCAGUUGUGGAAAGUUUUUUCGGUGCAAGAUGAGCUCGCGGCCUAUCAGCUUGUUGGUGGGGUAAUGGCCUACCAAGGCGUCGACGGGUAGCCGGCCUGAGAGGGUGUACGGCCACAUUGGGACUGAGAUACGGCCCAGACUCCUACGGGAGGCAGCAGUGGGGAAUAUUGCACAAUGGGCGGAAGCCUGAUGCAGCGACGCCGCGUGGGGGAUGAAGGCCUUCGGGUUGUAAACUCCUUUCGACAGGGACGAAGCGUAAGUGACGGUACCUGUAUAAGAAGCACCGGCUAACUACGUGCCAGCAGCCGCGGUAAUACGUAGGGUGCGAGCGUUGUCCGGAAUUACUGGGCGUAAAGAGCUCGUAGGUGGUUUGUCGCGUCGUCUGUGAAAUUCCGGGGCUUAACUCCGGGCGUGCAGGCGAUACGGGCUGACUUGAGUGCUGUAGGGGAGACUGGAAUUCCUGGUGUAGCGGUGAAAUGCGCAGAUAUCAGGAGGAACACCGAUGGCGAAGGCAGGUCUCUGGGCAGUAACUGACGCUGAGGAGCGAAAGCAUGGGUAGCGAACAGGAUUAGAUACCCUGGUAGUCCAUGCCGUAAACGGUGGGCGCUAGGUGUAGGGGGCUUCCACGUCUUCUGUGCCGUAGCUAACGCAUUAAGCGCCCCGCCUGGGGAGUACGGCCGCAAGGCUA
rnacentral:rRNA from 1 species